UUACCUUUGCUCGGAUGUCAACCGACUCAGAUUUUUAUGGUACGAUCUCUCACACGUAGAGUUGACCUUGGGGAUACCGCGCACGCUGUCUUCAUUUCUUUCACCGACUGGCAGCUCUUCUGCGAGUGCAAAAUGUUUCUUUAUUUGCGUCACGCAAUUUGAUGCUGGUCUGUCAAACACCCAACAUCGGUCGCGGUGUGGAAAGAGGUUUGCUGACGGAGGGCAAAUAUGCUUGUUUCGGCAAAAGAAGCGCUACAGGAGAGAAACCAAAUUACCUUGAGGAAAGGCCUUCCUUUGCAGAGAGUGGAAUUAUGAGCUGGUCUGUGAACAGUCUCCACGUGAGCACGGUUCUUUGUUGCGGAGUCGGCCUUGCUGGUGUUGCAUGAUUCAACCGCCUGUCAGCAACCACUGUUUCUCAUAUCUACCGGACGUCGGUUUAAGAAGUACUCUUGGAUGCAGGAGAUGAGUGGAAGUGCCACCUUUUACGUGGGAUGCUGUUCACUUACAAUAUCUAGGGUGACUCUGUCAUGGCAUCGCUGCGGCUCCAACAUGAUCUUUUCAUGCAAAUACACCGACCUUUGGAAUUAUUUGGCACAAAAAAAUGUUGAGCUUAUCGCGUGGCUGUUGUACGUACCCUCACUGCCAGUUAAGCGACUAUAAUUCGACGUCAACUUUCUUUGCCUCUCCGCGUCGCAACUUUUGUGAUACUGAUUUAG
rnacentral:lncRNA from 1 species